UACGUAGGGCGCAAGCGUUGUCCGGAAUUACUGGGCGUAAAGCGUGCGCAGGCGGUUCGCCAAGUCAGGUGUGAAAUCCCCGGGCUUAACCUGGGAAUUGCGCUUGAAACUAGCGGGCUUGAGUGUGGCAGAGGGGGGUGGAAUUCCACGUGUAGCAGUGAAAUGCGUAGAGAUGUGGAGGAACACCGAUGGCGAAGGCAGCCCCCUGGGUCAACACUGACGCUCAUGCACGAAAGCGUGGGGAGCAAACAGG
rnacentral:rRNA from 1 species